AAAUUGGAAAGCCCAUCUCUGAAACACAUUCGAGAUGCUCUGAAAAAGGUUGACAUGAACAAACAUUUGCUAUGCCAGAUAUUCAGGGAAGACCUUAGUCUGAUUGAUUUUGAAAGUCGGCUGCAAAGCCCUGUUGCGGAUGAAG